rnacentral:rRNA from 1 species
CUUUAGUAAUUGCGAAUGAACAAGGAUAUGCUUAGCUUGACAAAUGGAGCUAUUGGCUUUGAAUUGUAUUGUGGAAAUGUAUUACCAACAGAGGUGCAGGUGCCAGCCUAUUGAAAUAAAGCGUCAAUGAGGGUGAGAAUCCUGUUUGUCAUGUGCAGCCCUUUGUGCACGGUGUAUAUUUGCUGAGUCACACUCCUUGGCAUUGGAAUGCAAAGUGGGUGGUAAGUUUCAUGUAAAGGUAAACAUGCAAUUGAGACUGAUAGCACACAAGUACCAUGAGGGAAAUAUGAAAAGGACUUUGAAAAGAGAAUUAAAUGAGUUUGUAUUUGCUGAACACAAAGUAAACAGACUUGAUUUGCUUGGUGGGAGUGUUGCACUUGCUUGACAAGAGCUUUGGGCUGUGGGUGUAAUGAUUCUUUCUUUGCAUGCCAGUUUCUAUUUGUACAUCUGAUUACCUUUGCACAUGAAUGAUAAGUCUCCUGUGGGGGGUGGAUUGCAUGUGCAUGUAAUGAUUUGUGUUUUGAUAAAUGUGUCUGGUGUAUGUGUGUGUUCCUGUGCUUGGGGAUGCUUCCUUCCUUGGACUUACAAGCCCUGACACACACAUGCUGGCAAAAUGCUUCUGCUUGACCCGUCUUGAAACACGGACCAAGGAGUCUAACAGAUGUGCAAAGUUUGAAGGUGGUAUACCUUUGUGUGCAAUGAAAGUGUCAGCUGGGAUAUGUGCACCAGCACCCAAUUAAUUAGCGGACAGAGGUUUGAGUUGGAGCAUAUCUAUUAGGACCCGAAAGAUGGUGAACUAUGCCUGAACAGAAUGAAUUCAGAGGAAACUCUGAUGGAGGUUCGUAUCGAUACUGACGUGCAAAUCGUUCGUCAUAUUUGGGUAUAGGGGCGAAAGACUAAUCGAACCAUCUAGUAGCUGGUUCCCUCCGAAGUUUCCCUCAGGAUAGCUGGAGUUGCUCAGUUUUAUCAGGUAAAGCGAAUGAUU